AUUGAACGCUGGCGGCAGGCUUAACACAUGUAAGUCGAGCGGAGAGAGGUAGCUUGCUACUGAUCUUAGCGGCGGACGGGUGAGUAAUGCUUAGGAAUCUGCCUAUUAGUGGGGGACAACAUUUCGAAAGGAAUGCUAAUACCGCAUACGUCCUACGGGAGAAAGCAGGGGAUCUUCGGACCUUGCGCUAAUAGAUGAGCCGAAGUCGGAUUAGCUAGUUGGUGGGGUAAAGGCCUACCAAGGCGACGAUCUGUAGCGGGUCUGAGAGGAUGAUCCGCCACACUGGGACUGAGACACGGCCCAGACUCCUACGGGAGGCAGCAGUGGGGAAUAUUGGACAAUGGGCGCAAGCCUGAUCCAGCCAUGCCGCGUGUGUGAAGAAGGCCUUAUGGUUGUAAAGCACUUUAAGCGAGGAGGAGGCUACUUUAGUUAAUACCUAGAGAUAGUGGACGUUACUCGCAGAAUAAGCACCGGCUAACUCUGUGCCAGCAGCCGCCGUAAUAC
rnacentral:rRNA from 1 species